rnacentral:rRNA from 1 species
UUGAAAGGGAAACGAUUGAAGUCAGUCGUACCAGCGGGAAAUCAACCUUUCGAGUGGGGGUUUUGGAGUUUUGAAGAGUGUCAAAACCUUUGAGAUUUCAAAAUAUUCGCUCUUUUGGUGUACUUUCUCGUGGGUAGGUUAACAUCGAUUUUGAUCAUCAUAAAAAGAUUGGAGGAAUGUAGCUUCGAUCUUGUAUUGAAGUGUUAUAGCCUUUGGUAAAUGUGAUGAUUAGGAUCGAGGAUUGCAACGAAUACCCUUUUGGGCUAUCCGCCUGAUCUCUGAUACGUGGCCUUGGUAUCGAAAGCUUGCUUAUGGAUUAAGGUAUUACGGUCAAAAGGUUAGAACGGAUACUUCGUUAAGGAUGUUGACGUA